UACGUAGGGUGCAAGCGUUAAUCGGAAUUACUGGGCGUAAAGGGUGCGUAGGCGGCCAUGUAAGUCAGGAGUGAAAGUUUGCGGCUCAACCGUAAAAUUGCUUUUGAUACUGCAUGGCUGGAAUCAGGAUGAGGUCAGCGGAAUGUGGCAUGUAGCGGUGAAAUGCAUAGAUAUGCCAUAGAGCACCAAUUGCGAAGGCAGCUGGCUAGACCUGUAUUGACGCUGAGGCACGAAAGCGUGGGGAGCGAACAGG
rnacentral:rRNA from 1 species